rnacentral:rRNA from 1 species
UAAUACGGAGGGUGCGAGCGUUGUUCGGAAUCACUGGGCGCAAAGGGCGCGCAGGCGGUUUGGUAAGUCAGAUGUGAAAGCCCACGGCUCAACCGUGGAAGUGCAUUUGAAACUGCCAGACUUGAGUACCAGAGGGGAAAGUGGAAUUCCCGGUGUAGAGGUGAAAUUCGUAGAUAUCGGGAGGAAUACCGGUGGCGAAGGCGACUUUCUGGCUGGAUACUGACGCUGAGGCGCGAAAGCGUGGGGAGCAAACAGGAUUAGAUACCCUGGUAGUCCACGCCGUAAACGAUGUCAACUAGGUGUUGGGGGUGUUGAUCCCCUCAGUGCCGGAGCUAACGCAUUAAGUUGACCGCCUGGGGAGUACGGUCGCAAGAUUA